rnacentral:rRNA from 1 species
GAUGAACGCUAGCGGCAGGCCUAAUACAUGCAAGCUGAACGGUAAGAUUUGUAGCAAUACGGAUCCUAGAGUAGCGUAAGGGUGCGUAAAACGUAUGCAAUCUACCCGCAACAGGAGGAUAGCUCUUCGAAAGAGGAAUUAAGACUCCAUAAUACCAUUUGAGGGCAUCUGAGGAUGGUUAAACUACAAGGGGUUGCGGAUGAGCAUGCGUCUGAUUAGUUAGUUGGCGGGGUAACGGCCCACCAAGACGAUGAUCAGUAGGGGAACUGAGAGGUUGGUCCCCCACACUGGCACUGAGAUACGGGCCAGACUCCUACGGGAGGCAGCAGUAGGGAGUAUUGGACAAUGGGUGCAAGCCUGAUCCAGCCAUGCCGCGUGCAGGAAGAAAGCCUUCUGGGUUGUAAACUGCUUUUUUCAGGGGAUAAAAUACCGGUGCGCCGGGAAUUGCAAGUACCUGGAGAAUAAGCCACGGCUAACUACGUGCCAGCAGCCGCAGUAACAC